GCCAGCACAGAAUCCAAGGCAUGAGGAUGUUAAAAGUAGAAAAAUGAAAUUUUCAAAGCUAAGCAGGGUUGGGCCUGGUUAGUACUUGGAUGGGAGACCACCUACGAAGACCAGGUACUGUGCGUGUA
rfam:Pteropus alecto contig169773, whole genome shotgun sequence.